CUUGCUCUACAAAUUACUACAAAACACAUCCCAAUGCUGCAACAACUGCGUGUGGGCCUUGAGAUAUACGAUCUAAUCAAAGUCAUGCAGAAAAAGCCACAGGAGUGUCAUGAUCUCUGUCAUAGGAUAUGAUGACAAAGUUGACUCCCAUUACAUUUUAUCCCACCUGGCCCCAGAGAUGAGCCCAAUUGGUUCGAUUAAACAAGUGAAAGAGUCAAAAAUCAUGGAAUUCUUUCAAGAUUUCCUACUUGAACUUGAAGACACAAAACCAGAAGACGCAGCAGCAGGAGAAAACUUGUCUGUGCCAAAGAUAAUGCAGUGGAUGACUGGGCAAGCUCACAGGCAUCUGCUUGUGUCAGAAAGGGAGAAGUUUAAUAUAGUGUUUAAAUUUGACCAUUGCUGUCUACAGCACAUG